ACCAUCUCCUCCCUUUCUCUGUGAUGAAGGCGAUUCUAGGGUUUCUUCAUACCUCUCUCCUCCUCAAACCCUAGAUCUCUUACGCCUCCAUCGACACUGCCAUCUCUUGCGGUUGCUCUGUCCCUCGGAGUUCCCAGAAGGAUGAGAAUCCGAGUCUAGAUUCGACUUGCCAGAUCUCAAUCAAUACAUCAAUCACAAUAAUGGUUGGAGGAUUGUUUAACAAGCUCGCUUUGAAAUCGCUCAAAGUCGCCGGAAAAUGGCAACAACAGCAGCUCCGUCGUCUUAAUAUUCAUGAAUAUCAGAUGGUAAGCUUAUGUGGUGAAGAGCCAAAUCCUUGCUGGUGGAAAGGGCUUAGGGAAGUUCACAAGCGGUCUUCAAGGUGGAGUUCACAUUGUCAAAGCUGUUGGUUACUGACGAAUGAGUUAAUGGGCAGUUUGGUAUCAAUGUGCCAAAAGGUGUUGCUGUUUCUUCUGUUGAAGAAGUCCGAAAAGCUAUACAAACAACGUUCCCAAAUGAGAAGGAGGUAAUUUGUUGUAAAUUAAAAGUAAAUCGAAAUUUUAAAUAACUGAUACUGUUCUAUUUGGUAAUGGCUGUAAGUUUCAAGGCAAAUGAUUUCUAAUGGCUGAUAAGUUUCAAGCAUUAGUUUCGAUUUCAUUUUUGAUAUCAGCACUAUUUUAGUAAAAAAACUCGUCAGAUAAUA